GUCAGGCACUCUACCUUUGAAAAUUUGUUGAGAUGAACCUCGGUGCUGCACAGCAUGGAUAAAUACGAGAUGUUGAAAAGAGCACUCGAGAGGAUUUGUUUAACAAGCUUUAUAUGUGAUUCAAAAAGAUCAACGUUUCGACCCAAGAGGUCUUUGUCAAGAUGUGAGUACAAGUGAGUAAAUUAUAUAUAUAUAUGUAGGGCAUAAAUUGUAAAAAUAAUCACUUACCCAGUGCAGGUGUGACCCCCAGAUCCCUAAGUGAAUGUUGUGCUGUGCGCGUGUGACCGGCGUGUGACGUCAUCAUACCGCGACCGAGAGGUCGGGAAGGCAUCUGGUUGCCAUAGUGACGCGGUAUUAGAAAAUAAGUGUAUGUGAAGCGUGCAUUUCAAUCAGAGUAAAAUAUCAAUAAAAUGAGCAAGGAAGAAAUACAGAAAAAGUGUACAAAUGGUAUAUACACAACUGAUCUGUCAGAUUGUACAAAAAGAAUAUUAAGUGGAAAGCCCAAACCAAUUGAAUAAUGGAUGAGUGAUUGAAAGGGGACGUGAUCGUGAGUGAAUGAAUGGGAUGGAUUGGGAGUGAGUGUGAAUAAAGCAGAACAAUAAUACUGUGUAUGUGAAAUCCAAAAUAAAACUGGAAAACGUGAAAUAUGUCCCCAUGGAUAGGUGUGUGAUAAAAGAUAAGAGUGAUAAGAAUAAAGCUGAUGUGUGGAUGAGAGUGAGAAGAAAGGAAUAAAGAGUGUGGUCAUGAAAAAUAAAGAGAAGAAAGUAGAGAGGCAUGGGCUAUAUACAAGCAUAAGUACAUAUAUAGAAAUAAAUCAAUGACUGAUAUGGCAGAGCAGAGGAUAGUACAACCAAAGGAACAUAAGCAUAUUACUAAUAUCUGAGCAAAGAGCAAAGAAAAUUCAGGUGAGAUGUAUAGAUAUUUACACGAAAAUGAUAUUAAUAAUGAUAUUAUUAAGGCUGUAGCCACAAGAAUCUAUGAAGGUAUAAGGAAGAGAGAUAUGGAUAUGAGCAAAUGAAUGGCCUAGAAAUAGACUAAUAGAGAGUAAAAAGAAAAAAGGAAAAAGAAAAAAAUGAUAAUAAAGAAUAAUAAUGAAAAAAUAAUAAGUAAAAAAUAAAC